UUAUAAUUUUCUUUCUCUUUAUAUAACCACCUGAAUGAUUUGUAAUUUUAAAAACAAAUAGAAUUAAAAUUUUUAAAUGAUGGGUGCUACAAAGUGUGUCUAGAAUGUAUGAGAGCGCUAUUGCUAUCUCUUCAUUCCAGCACUGAAGCUUCUGACACCUAGGAAGUCACUAUGUUGUUGCAGUUACAGCUGACUGUGUUUUCUGUGCAUGGCACAUGGCUGGGGGAAUAAGAAUCACUCCCUGCAAUGAGCAUCUUACUGAGGGCUCACUGUGUGUUGGGCCUAACACUGCACAGAAAUAUAUCCCAAGUCCAGUAAAACUGAACACUCCAGCAUUCCUAGACAUGAAUGAGAGGGGAGGUUUCAUUUGUAUCUUACCUUGAACUAGGUAGGCUGAAGCUUGGAACCAUGGUGGAGCUUAUGGACAGGAGAACUCUAGGAUGGCUGUAUGAUCACAAUAUUAGUGUACAUAUCUAAGCUCUCAAGAUGUUCCUGCGCUUGUGGAGAUAGAUGACAAACACAUGUCCCUCUGGACCCUUGGCACACAAGACAUGCGUGCAGACCCUGUAGGGAGACUGUGGUCUAGAAAAGAGAUGGGAAGGUACGGAAAUGAAAGUCACUCUGGACGGAAGGACUGGGCUAGGCAUUUUCUAAACAUCUACCAUAUGCCAGAAACUAGAUGGCUUUUCUCACCUAUUUCCCAUAAUAACCCCAUCAAGUAGGUAUUACAGUUAAGAAAGCAGAGCCAGAAAUGAUACAUAAAUUACCCUUACUUGAAAGUUGAUCCCAAAUCCUAUUUUUCCAAGAAUCCUCAGAAAAUAUGAGGAUACUGUCAGUUCCAUUCGCAUUAGAACUUCAGCCCUCUGUCUCAUGGAAGAUGAAAUUAAUAAAAGUAAAGGUAAUUUUAGAGAUUGACUAUAAAUUACGUAGGAUUAUCCCAUUUCACAUAUGAAGUCAAGGCCCAAUAGAGUUAUGGACUUUGUCACACAGGGCCCUUUGAAACCAAGCAGGGAUUCAGAUCUGUGCCUCUGUUCUCCUCAGGCCUGCACUUUUCCCUCUACCCAUGUGCCUCAGUCAAAUUCCCCUGGUUUGGGAGAUGAGCUGAAGGUCUUCCUUAUUAAAUUCAUCAAGUGGAAAUGAGUCAGUGUCUUUUAGAAGAGUUUUUGUUGUCCUUCCAAAAGAGCUUUCAUGUUCAUUAUGGUGCCUUUAUCUCUUGGCAGUGACUGAGAUGGGCAUUGUUUUAUAUAGAUGUGGAAGCUAAAGUCCCUGAGAGGUAGUCAUCUGACCAGGGUGACAUGAUAGAUGCUAGAGUUGGGCUCCUUCCCUUUGAAGUGGUUGAGAUGAAUAUCAUUGUUCAUUGGUCUCCAAAGGCAGAGAAGAGUGUUGGGAGAGAUUGUCCGUGGUGAGUGUCCCAGGUGGUGCUUCAUUUGUCUAGAGGGAGGCAUGAAGCUGGCUGCCACCGUGCAAGGUCAGACACGUGUAUCCUGUCUCGUCAGCUGAUGUGUCUUGCCUUUUGUUUUCCUGUGCAGCCUCUCUGCAUGAACGUGAACAGUAACCAGAGCUGCAUUUUAUCUUCCUUUUUUUUUUUUUUUAAUGUCAGCCUGAACUGCUGCCAACCACUGCAGGCCCCAUGCAUUUUUAAUGUACUGAUGAUUAGGAGGCCAUGGGGGUCUCAUUUCAUGUCAUUCAACUGCUGGAGAUGUGUUUUUCUCAGCUUAUUCCCAAUGUAGGCUCCUUUCUGUUUCAGAUACCCAUGGCCCCUCAGCUCUUACUAAGGGGGUAAGAAAGUGAAUUUCUAAGCCUUUGAUUUGCUGAAUAGCUAGGAGAUUUCAGAAGGGGGUGCUUUUCAACUUUCUGAAAAAGAGAUCACGAAUUUCAAGUCAACAAAUAUUUACUGAGCCCUGGCUCUUGUAGUCUAACUCACUGGAAAAAAAACAAAAAACAAAAAAAAAAAAAACUCUACAGUAGGCAUUUGUUAGUGGGGAUGCAGAAGUGAUCCAAGGUCCCUCUCAUGGUCUGGUGACAGGGAAAGAUGAAAACAUGUAUAAAUAUACUAUGUAAGAGCCAUUAAGUGCAGAAGAUUGUAGACAUGAAUGGUUAUUUCUAACCAAGGGGGAAGACUAGCUUAGGAAGGAAGUGCUGUUUGAAGGGAGCCUUUAAAGAGAGGACUUGGAAAGAUACUCAUGUGUCCAUUAUUUAGUCCAGUAAAUGCUGAGCCCAUGCAAGCACAUGCUUCUCUGUACACCGUAGCAGAGGAGACGGGAAAUGAACAGGUGAAGAUAGAUCCUCCCCACACACACACACAAAGACAGUGCCAAGUGCAGAGAACAGUACUGCUUUCCUCAGGUCUGCAAAGAUUGGGACCCUGGGUAUUUCUGAUGAGUGGCGAUGUCAGCAAGGGGCUUGGUAAGUGGUUGUCAGACUUGAGCUCUAUUUUUAAAAAUACAGGCCCCACACUUUGUCAGUGGGUUGCAUCUGGGGCAUGAGAAAUGAAAACCAAGUAUGAUUUGAGAGUUUUCAGCAUUACAGCUUCAAGAAUAUUACUUGAUGUUAACUGACCAAGGGAAGGGAUUGUGGAUAAAGGGCUGAGAAAGAAGAUCAAGGAUUUGUUGUUCACAUAUUCAGACUGAACUUUAUUAUCAGGCAUCCAAGUAGAGAUACAGAAUCAGUUUGAAGUGUUUGUUGUUGGUUUUUUUUAUGGAGGAGAAAAAGGUAUUUGACAGUUCUCAGGGCCCUGUUGCUUCCUAGGCAAACAUGCUAUCACUUAGGCUUCACCCCCAGGCCUGUUGGUUUUGUUAUGGGUCUUUUUGAUUGGCUUGGUCUCAAACUAUGACUCCCUUUCUGCCUUUCAAUAGAUAAUUAAAUGUAUAAUAUUUAAGUCUGUAUUUUAGGAUUGAGCUCUGGGCUUGCAAUAUCAAUUUUAGAGUUGCCAGCUAACAAAAAAACACUUAAGUUAAAAAAAACACAAACAUAAUUUAGAUCCAAGGGAGUGAUCAUGGGUAGAGAAUAAUAAAGUACCAAAGACAGACAGGAGGUUUUCCAGUGUUAUGAGGUCAGAAAGAUGAAGAGCCAUCAACAACAAUGGAGAUUGAUUGGUGGCUGGAAGCUACAAGGACAACUGAGUGAGUGUGGGGUCCUGGAAGCCAGGUGAAGGAAGAUUUGUAUGGAGUUAGCAUUCACUGUUGAGAACAUCUCAUAUACUUCAUGUCAACUCAACACCACAUUCCUUUACCAUAGACUUAGACUGGAAAGCAAGAGCUUAGGGAAGAGAAACAACCUCUCUAGGAAUAGAGUGUUGAGACAGAAUCUUACUGUGCAGACUAGGCUGACCUUGAGUUUGUCAU